GUGGGGAAUCUUGCGCAAUGGGCGAAAGCCUGACGCAGCCAUGCCGCGUGAAUGAUGAAGGUCUUAGGAUUGUAAAAUUCUUUCACCGGGGACGAUAAUGACGGUACCCGGAGAAGAAGCUCCGGCUAACUUCGUGCCAGCAGCCGCGGUAAUACGUAGGGGGCUAGCGUUGCUCGGAAUUACUGGGCGUAAAGGGCGCGUAGGCGGACAGCUUAGUCAGAGGUGAAAGCCCAGGGCUCAACCUUGGAAUUGCCUUUGAUACUGGCUGUCUUGAGUUUGGGAGAGGUGAGUGGAACUCCGAGUGUAGAGGUGAAAUUCGUAGAUAUUCGGAAGAACACCAGUGGCGAAGGCGACUCACUGGCCCAAUACUGACGCUGAGGCGCGAAAGCGUGGGGAGCAAACAGGAUUAGAUACCCGAGUAGUCC
rnacentral:rRNA from 1 species